AGGUGUGAAUGUGCGAAUAUUUGCCUGUCUCUCUGUGUUAGCCCUGUGAUGGACUGGCCACCUGUCCAGGGUAUACCCUGCCCCAUGGCAGCUGGGAUAGGCUGCAGUGCUGUCUCCCUGUGACCCUGAACUGGAUAAGUGGAAGAAAAUGGAUGGGUGGACCUAUCGUCUAUGACUUGCUCAGUGUCUAUAACCCUACUAGACCUGUCAGGUCAUCAAGUGCAGAUCUUUUAACUGGAUGGUAACUUUUCCAUGUUGGUGUAAGGACUGUGGCUGCUGCAUCCCGAACGAGUUCAAGUCAUCCUACUGAUGAUUUGGAUAAUCCUCCAAAUUAAAAAGUUUCUCGCAGUCAGUUAGAGAUAAGAGUUUUAGAGUUAGAGUUAAGUUUUGAUUUUUUUUUUUCAAGUUAAAGCCAUUAAUUUAAAUAUUAAUAUAACUGUCAAAGCUGAGAUCACUGUCCCAAAUGAUGCCAAUGUUUCUGAAUUGCUCAGUGUAUUUCAGAGAAACGGAUAAUAAAGAUGAGCAAAAUGUCAGUCUGUGACUUUCUGGACUAACAAGUAUUUCUGUGUUUCUGUGUCUCUGUUCAGUUGUAAGAAGUUUCGAGACAUCCAGGAAUAAUGUAAACAAAGCAGCUCAUUAGAUUGUGAACAAAAGUUAGAUAAUUAAAGGAAAAUGAUAAAUACAACAGUGUAUCAUCAGCAUAAAAAUAAUAUAUUAUGAUUCUUUCAGAUAGCACCAUGCAAAGCAUGUAAAGGUUAAAGAGUACAGGACCAAGAGCUGAUCCCUGAGGAACCCCUGAGAUCUGCAGAUCUAACUGAAGAACUGACGAUACCUGCUGUGGUGACUCUAAAGGAAACAGCUGAAAGAAGAAGAAAAAGAGUAGAUAUGUACAGGUUCAAUAACAACCAAAGAAGUAAUCUUUAAAGACCUGCUUUUUUUCCACUUCUUGCUCAAAACCUUUUGUCCAAACCACUUAUCGUCGCUGUCAUAAUGAAAGACUUCUUCACACCUUAAUACACAAGAUUUCUAAAGCUAAUAAUCUUGCUUCCUUUUUCCAUCAUGUGCUCUUGAAACUACGUGUUAGAAAAGGAAGCCCAACCUUAAAUUGAUGCCUAGCAGUGACUUCCACUCCCUCAUUCAUGAAACGUUUACUGGACAUGGGGCUGCCUGAGGGCAAUUCUGUGCAAUAAAAGGUCUGAAAACCAACCACUACUGUAGGCCCAUGAUGCCACCAGGGGCCACAACCAGCCUGCCAAAGCAUUCAGUUCAGCUCACUGGAUGGUUUUUCAAUGGGAGAAAAUUGCACAAAAUCACUAACUACUCCAGUUUAAAUAAAUAAUAAAUGAAUAAAUAUAUAAUGUUAUUCCUUUUGCAUAAAUGCCAGUCUCACUACACAAGUGAAAAAGUCUAGGAGAGUUAAAAGUAUAUCUAGAUCGAGAAAAGGUUUUUGAAUCUUAAAAUUUUAAAUAAAGUUUUUGCUUACUUGCAAAAUCUCAGCACAUGGUUUUAUGGCUUUGCACUGAUGUAGGCCUGACUAUGGUCCAGGUGAAUGUUUUUAGUUUCCUUCUUUAUACUAAAGAAAGUGUAAUGUAAAUAAAAUUAAUGUAAAUGUGCCAUUUGAAUCAAAUUUUAGACCCAAAUCUGAACAUAACCUACACUGAAUCAGGUUAUAUGCUCAGCAUGGGUUACCAUAGUGAUCGAGUCCUUGAAAACAAAGCCACCUUCCAGCUUUGAACUUGACUUCGCUGACACAAUGUUACUUAUUAAUCUUGCUUCAUUCAGGCCAGCAGUUGUAGCUGCCUUUUUGUACUUAAAG